GCUUUUUAUGAGGGUGUAUUGGCAUCAUUAUCAGAAUAACUGCUCUAUUUAUCAUUUAUAAGACUAUGUUUCCAAAUUUCUGAAAGCCUCACCUCUACUAGUGGUCAGCCUCAAACUGACAAGUAGCACAUGGCAGCAGAGCCCCUACUUCCGCCCAGAAGUGCUUGUGGAUUGAGACUGGAGUCAGAGUUUCAGGGAAGUUUAUAUGCUGAAGUAUAAAUCAGACUCUUUAAGUAUUGAUAUUUUUUC
rnacentral:lncRNA from 1 species